UGACGGCUGGCGGCAGGCUUACACAUGCAAGUCGAGCGGAGUGAUGGUGCUUGCACUAUCACUUAGCGGCGGACGGGUGAGUAAUGCUUAGGAAUCUGCCUAUUAGUGGGGGACAACAUCUCGAAAGGGAUGCUAAUACCGCAUACGUCCUACGGGAGAAAGCAGGGGAUCACUUGUGACCUUGCGCUAAUAGAUGAGCCUAAGUCGGAUUAGCUAGUUGGUGGGGUAAAGGCCUACCAAGGCGACGAUCUGUAGCGGGUCUGAGAGGAUGAUCCGCCACACUGGGACUGAGACACGGCCCAGACUCCUACGGGAGGCAGCAGUGGGGAAUAUUGGACAAUGGGGGGAACCCUGAUCCAGCCAUGCCGCGUGUGUGAAGAAGGCCUUAUGGUUGUAAAGCACUUUAAGCGAGGAGGAGGCUCUUUUGGUUAAUACCCAAGAUGAGUGGACGUUACUCGCAGAAUAAGCACCGGCUAACUCUGUGCCAGCAGCCGCGGUAAUACAGAGGGUGCAAGCGUUAAUCGGAUUUACUGGGCGUAAAGCGCGCGUAGGCGGCCAAUUAAGUCAAAUGUGAAAUCCCCGAGCUUAACUUGGGAAUUGCAUUCGAUACUGGUUGGCUAGAGUGUGGGAGAGGAUGGUAGAAUUCCAGGUGUAGCGGUGAAAUGCGUAGAGAUCUGGAGGAAUACCGAUGGCGAAGGCAGCCAUCUGGCCUAACACUGACGCUGAGGUGCGAAAGCAUGGGGAGCAAACAGGAUUAGAUACCCUGGUAGUCCAUGCCGUAAACGAUGUCUACUAGCCGUUGGGGCCUUUGAGGCUUUAGUGGCGCAGCUAACGCGAUAAGUAGACCGCCUGGGGAGUACGGUCGCAAGACUAAAACUCAAAUGAAUUGACGGGGGCCCGCACAAGCGGUGGAGCAUGUGGUUUAAUUCGAUGCAACGCGAAGAACCUUACCUGGCCUUGACAUAGUAGAAACUUUCCAGAGAUGGAUUGGUGCC
rnacentral:rRNA from 1 species